rnacentral:rRNA from 1 species
GACGUAGGGCGCGAGCGUUGUCCGGAUUUAUUGGGCGUAAAGAGCUCGUAGGCGGCUUGUCGCGUCGUCCGUGAAAACCCACAGCUCAACUGUGGGCUUGCGGUCGAUACGGGCAGGCUAGAGUUCGGUAGGGGAGACUGGAAUUCCUGGUGUAGCGGUGAAAUGCGCAGAUAUCAGGAGGAACACCGGUGGCGAAGGCGGGGUCUCUGGGCCAUAACUGACGCUGAGAAGCGAAAAGCAUGGGGGAGCGA